rnacentral:rRNA from 1 species
GACGAACGCUGGCGGCGUGCUUAACACAUGCAAGUCGAACGGAAAGGCCCUGCCUUUGUGGGGUGCUCGAGUGGCGAACGGGUGAGUAACACGUGAGUAACCUGCCCUUGACUUUGGGAUAACUUCAGGAAACUGGGGCUAAUACCGGAUAGGAGCUCCUGCUGCAUGGUGGGGGUUGGAAAGGUUCGGCGGUUGGGGAUGGACUGGCGGCUUAUUAGCUUGUUGGUGGGGUAGUGGCUUACCAAGGCUUUGACGGGUAGCCGGCCUGAGAGGGUGACCGGCCACAUUGGGACUGAGAUACGGCCCAGACUCCUACGGGAGGCAGCAGUGGGGAAUAUUGCACAAUGGGCGGAAGCCUGAUGCAGCAACGCCGCGUGCGGGAUGACGGCCUUCGGGUUGUAAACCGCUUUCGCCUGUGACGAAGCGUGAGUGACGGUAAUGUGUAAAGAAGCACCGGCUAACUACGUG